rnacentral:rRNA from 1 species
GGACAAUGAGAUCCAUUCAUUUCUUCCUCACGAACGAACACAUCUCCUCUCGUCAACAAGCUCCACUUCCCCCCUCUUCCUUCAUCCGUAGGUGCUUGCUCUCAUCCAUCGGCGACAAGCUGUGCCAGCCAGCCAUGGCAACUUGUCGAGUAGCUACUGCUCCUUCGUCAUGGCAAGUCGUCAGUCCCAGCGCCACACACAGGACCCACUCCCUCUUUUUCUGCCCUCGGCGGUUCAUCGAGUCAUUGCUCCUUCUCGAACCCCGCGGACCGCACCGGUGCUGAUGCUGCCGACGACGACCACCCGCUGCUGCUAUACGCUGUAGUGCAAGCUCCAGACCAAGUGGGCGGACGAGAUGCUGGAACUGGCUUCAGCGGGAGCUACAAUCGGCGGCAAUUUUUGCUACGAGUGGGUUUUUGUUUUGCUGGAAUCAGUAACUCUUUCCUAGGAUCUGUAAUUGAGGGUGUUGUUUGAUGGAACCAACUUUAAUUUUUGCUACCACCGUAUAUGUUUUUUGCUACCGCCAUAGAUGUUCUUUGCUACUAUCGUCUUUUCAGUUUUUACUUUUUUUGCUGGAUCCAUCUCUUUCUACUGAAACCAGUUCCAAUUUUUUUGCUACCAUUGUCUUUGUUUUUUGCUGCCACUGCUUUGAUUUUUGCUACCAGCUCCUCUUUUUGAUUUUUUGUUGGAUCCAUCUUUUUGCUGGAACCAGCGAAUUAUUUUGCUACAUCCAGCACUGAUUUUUGCAGGAACCAGUCGUCCGUUGGCUACGACCGUCGGCGCGACAGAGCUACAAACAGGAUGGAAAAAUGCUACAACUGAUAUAUAAAUUUGCUAUGGGUGGCAUUUUUAUUUGCUGGAACUAGUCGAGCGUCGGUGUGACGGAGCUGCAUCCAGCAACAUAAUUUGCUACGUCCAGCAUCUUUUUUUGUUGGAACCAGCACUAACAUCGGAUGGCCACACGACGUCAUCGGAGUAACUACCACGGGCAGCUCAGGAUGCUGCAACUGGCGGCCGAGGUUGCCCUGACUACGCCGGCGACACUACAGACGACUACAUGAUGCUUGGGACGGCGCCGUCUCCGCACUGCAUCAGAGGCGACCUGUUAAAGGACGAGAGCGGAUGGCCGGUGAGCGCGGGCGACCGGGGCGACGAGCGCGGGUGCGCCGUUGGCCGGCAAGCACGGGCAGCCAAGGACGAGCACCGGCAGCGGCGAGCGCGGAGUUCGUCAUGGAUGGGAGUUGCUGGUCAACUCAGAGCCAGAUGUGAAGGGGAGGAGAUGAUGCAGGGAAAUUAACGGUUGGAGGUGGCCUAAUCCCAGGGCUGGGGGCCGACCGGUCGAAACUUUUGGCCGGCACGCUGGCGCCUAGUAGGCGCCAUAAUACAUGGGAACAUAUUUUACUUGUUCUGCCUCUGAACUUUGUAAACACACUAGUUCUAUUGCUGAGACCUACACCUACACAAAAACGAUUGAUGUCACUAAACAACACAUAUUGAAAAACUUGACAGGGCCCCUUAUAGAUAAGCACCUUUGAAGGCUUUCACGUCCAAGUGACAACAAUGUAGUCGUUAGGUCUGGCACGCCUAAUUUUAGUAGAUUUUUCCGGAGUUUCUAGAAAUUAGGCAAGACAUUUGUUCCUACUAUACAAAUGGUUAAGUCUGUGCUUACAACACGUUCUCCGUCAACUACGA